CCUACGGGGGGCAGCAGUGGGGAAUAUUGGGCAAUGGGCGCAAGCCUGACCCAGCAACGCCGCGUGAAGGAAGAAGGCUUUCGGGUUGUAAACUUCUUUCGACAGGGAAGAGUAGAAGACUGUAUCUGUCGAAUAAGCCACGGCUAUCCACGUGACAGCAGCCGCGGUAAUAUGUAGGUGGCAAGCGUUGUCCGGAUUUACUGGGUGUAAAGGGCGUGUAGCCGGGUUGACAAGUCAGAUGUGAAAUCCUGCGGCUUAACCGCAGAACUGCUUUUGAAACUGUUGAUCUUGAGUACUGGAGAGGCAGGCGGAAUUCCUAGUGUAGCGGUGAAAUGCGUAGAUAUUAGGAGGAACACCAGUGGCGAAGGCAGCAUGCCGGCUUCCGACUGACGCUGAAGCACGAAAGCGUGGGGAUCGAACAGGAUUAGAUACCCUUGUAGUC
rnacentral:rRNA from 1 species